GCACCUUCCGAUACGGCUACCUUGUUACGACUUUACCCCAGUCAUGAACCCUGCCGUGGCAGUCGCCCUCCUUGCGGUUAGGCUAACGGCUUCUGGCAAAACCCACUCCCAUGGUAUGACGGGCGGUGUGUACAAGACCCGGGAACGUAUUCACCGCGACAUUCUGAUCCGCGAUUACUAGCGAUUCCAGCUUCACGUAGUCGAGUUGCAGACUACGAUCCGGACUACGAUGCAUUUUCUGAGAUUAGCUCCCCCUCGCGGGUUGGCAACCCUCUGUAUGCACCAUUGUAUGACGUGUGAAGCCCUACCCAUAAGGGCCAUGAGGACUUGACGUCAUCCCCACCUUCCUCCGGUUUGUCACCGGCAGUCUCUUUAGAGUGCUCUUGCGUAGCAACUAAAGACAAGGGUUGCGCUCGUUGCGGGACUUAACCCAACAUCUCACGACACGAGCUGACGACAGCCAUGCAGCACCUGUGUUCACUUUCCCUUACGGGCACCUAAUGUAUCUCUACUUCGUUAGUGACAUGUCAAGGGUAGGUAAGGUUUUUCGCGUUGCAUCGAAUUAAUCCACAUCAUCCACCGCUUGUGCGGGUCCCCGUCAAUUCCUUUGAGUUUUAAUCUUGCGACCGUACUCCCCAGGCGGCUGACUUCACGCGUUAGCUACGUUACUCAGGAUGAAAAUCCCG
rnacentral:rRNA from 1 species